rnacentral:rRNA from 1 species
UACAGAGGUCCCAAGCGUUGUUCGGAUUCACUGGGCGUAAAGGGUACGUAGGCGGUCGGGUAAGUCUGAUGUGAAAUCUCACAGCUUAACUGUGAAACUGCAUUGGAUACUAUUCGGCUUGAGAGUUGGAGGGGGGACUGGAAUUCUUGGUGUAGCAGUGAAAUGCGUAGAUAUCAAGAGGAACACCAGUGGCGAAGGCGAGUCCCUGGACAACUUCUGACGCUGAGGCACGAAAGCUAGGGGGAGCAAACAGG